AUGGCUCAGGAUGAACGCUGGCGGCGUGCUUAACACAUGCAAGUCGAACGAAGACACUUUAUUAUGAUUUCUUCGGAAUGACGAUUUAGUGACUGAGUGGCGGACGGGUGAGUAACGCGUGGGUAACCUGCCUUAUACAGGGGGAUAACAGUUAGAAAUGACUGCUAAUACCGCAUAAGCGCACAGGAUUGCAUGAUCUAGUGUGAAAAACUCCGGUGGUAUAAGAUGGACCCGCGUCUGAUUAGCUGGUUGGUGAGGUAACGGCCCACCAAGGCGACGAUCAGUAGCCGACCUGAGAGGGUGACCGGCCACAUUGGGACUGAGACACGGCCCAAACUCCUACGGGAGGCAGCAGUGGGGAAUAUUGCACAAUGGGGGAAACCCUGAUGCAGCGACGCCGCGUGAGCGAAGAAGUAUUUCGGUAUGUAAAGCUCUAUCAGCAGGGAAGAAAAAAUGACGGUACCUGACUAAGAAGCCCCGGCUAACUACGUG
rnacentral:rRNA from 1 species